AAGGCUCUCUUCAAGGCAUUAAAUGCGAUUGAAACUCCCAAAGAUGUUCAGGAAAAGUUUGGCCGAACUGUGGUUGAAUCAUAUCUACUGUGAUAGGUUUACAAAGAAACAAUAUUAUCUGUGGAUAGAUUAAUCUCUUGAGCAUUUGGGAUGACCAAGCUUUUACUUUCUGAAUCGAGGUUAUAUAAUAGGGAAAACAAACGACGCAGUGCCGGUGGCAAAAAGAUGCUGAAAGGAGAACCACUUUGCUUUUCUUUUUGAAAUGUGGAAUCAAAAUUGCUGAAAUUGAGGAGCAUAAUCAAUAAAAUGCUUUUAGUUUUGCAUAGUGAA